GACGAACGCUGGCGGCGUGCUUAACACGUGCAAGUCGAACGAUGAAGAAAAGAAUCGAAGCUUCGGCAGAAAUUCAUUUCGGAUUAGUGGCAGACGGGUGAGUAACGCGUGAGCAACCUACCUCUUACAAAGGGAUAGCCUCGGGAAACCGGGAUUAAUACCAUAUAACAUUGCGACGAAGCAUUUCGAUGCAAUCAAAGCUACGGCGGUAAGAGAUGGGCUCGCGUCCCAUUAACCGGAUGGUGAGGUAACGGCUCACCAUAGUGACGAUGGGUAACCGGCCUGAGAGGGUGCACGGUCACACUGGAACUGAGACACGGUCCAGACUCCUACGGGAGGCAGCAGUGGGGAAUAUUGCACAAUGGAGGGAACUCUGAUGCAGCGACGCCGCGUGAGUGAUGAAGGAAUUCGUUUCGUAAAACUCUGUUCUAUGGGAAGAAAAGGACUGUACCAUAGGAGAAAGCUCCGGCUAAAUACGUG
rnacentral:rRNA from 1 species